AUUGAACGCUGGCGGCAGGCCUAACACAUGCAAGUCGAACGAGUGGCGGACGGGUGAGUAAUGUCUGGGAAACUGCCCGAUGGAGGGGGAUAACUACUGGAAACGGUAGCUAAUACCGCAUACCAUCGGAUGUGCCCAGAUGGGAUUCGCUAGUAGUGGGGGUAACGGCUCACCUAGGCGACGAUCCCUAGCUGGUCUGAGAGGAUGACCAGCAACAGUGGAACUGAGACACGGUUCAGACUCCUACGGGAGGCAGCAGUGGGGAAUAUUGCAGAAUGGGCGCAAGCCUGACGGAGCAACGCCGCGUGAGUGAAGAAGGCCUUAGGGUUGUAAAGUACUUUCAGCGGGGAGGCGUUACCCGCAGAAGAAGCACCGGCUAACUCCGUGCCAGCAGCCGCGGUAAGAC
rnacentral:rRNA from 1 species